UGGGAUCUGAUGAACCUUUCCCCACAUGAUCGACUAUGAAUACAAUGUGCGCUAAAUCUAGUUUUCUCCUUUUCGGAGGAGAAUCCAAGCCAGAAGUUCUGAUCCCA